CGUCCCCGUUAAGAAGCCCCCGCCACCGCCACCAUGCCCACCAUCCAGACACUCCUAUCCCAGACACGAACGACUCCUCGGGAGGGGAGAAGAAGCGGAGGAGAGAGAGAAGCGCGCGACGAGUCGACGCCAUGGAAGAGAGGGUGCCGCUUCUGCCGCAGUACACGUUGCGGAACGACGACGGACGGGAGGAGAAGUGCGGCGGCGGCGGCGGCGUGAGGUGGUGGAGGGAGCUGCUGGCGCGGGAGGCCGGCAAGGUCGGUUGCGUGGCCCUGCCGAUGGCGGCCGUGAGCGUGUCGCAGUACGCGGUGCAGGUGGCGUCCAACAUGAUGGUCGGCCACCUCCCCGGCGUCCUCCCGCUCUCCGCCUCCGCCAUCGCCACUUCCCUCGCCACUGUCUCCGGUUUCAGCCUCCUAAUUGGGAUGGCAAGUGGAUUGGAAACUCUAUGUGGUCAAGCCUAUGGCGCAAAACAGUAUGACAAACUGGGGAUGCACACCUAUAGAGCUAUAGUCACACUCAUUGUUGUGAGCAUUCCAAUCUCACUUCUGUGGGCAUUCAUAGGCAAACUCCUGAUGCUCAUAGGUCAGGACCCCUUGAUCUCAAAGGAAGCGGGGAGAUACAUAGCCUGGUUGAUUCCAGGUCUCUUUGCAUACGCCAUCAGCCAGCCUCUCACAAAAUUUCUACAGUCUCAGAGUCUGAUAAUUCCUAUGCUUUGGUCUUCCAUUGCAACUUUGCUCUUGCACAUUCCUAUUUGUUGGCUAUUAGUGUUCAAGACCAGUUUGGGGUAUAUUGGAGCUUCUUUGGCAAUAAGCUUGUCAUAUUGGUUAAAUGUGAUUAUGCUUGCUGCUUACAUCAGAUACUCGAAUUCUUGUAAGGAGACCCGCUCACCUCCUACAGUUGAGGCUUUCAAAGGAGUUGGUGUGUUUCUACGCCUAGCUCUGCCAUCUGCACUGAUGUUAUGUUUCGAAUGGUGGUCUUUUGAGAUCCUUAUUCUUGUCUCAGGGAUUUUACCAAAUCCAGAGCUGCAAACUUCAGUUCUUUCAAUCUGUUUGACGACUAUCACGUUAAUGUAUACUAUACCUUAUGGGCUUGGAGCGGCUGCAAGCACUAGGGUAGCAAAUGAAUUGGGUGGUGGUAACCCUGAAGGAGCUCGAUCAUCUGUUCAGGUUGUCAUGUGUAUUGCAGUGAUGGAAGCAGUUAUAAUCACAAUUAUAUUGUUAGCGUCACAGCACAUCUUGGGCUAUGCAUAUAGCAGUGAUAAGGAUGUUGUCGCGUAUGUCAAUGCAAUGGUUCCCUUUGUGUGCGUCUCUGUUGCUGCUGACAGUCUACAAGGUGUUCUAUCAGGUUACAUCUCUUAACUUUGUUAAAUUGUUUAUCUGUCUGUCUCUCUCUUCAUCAAAAGAGUAUAAAGGAAAAGUAUUUUCCUGCUCCCUAGAACCUCGAGAAGACACAUCUUCCAAUUAUACCUGUGAAGUUAUGAAACUAUUUGUUUUUGUUCUUUACACCAAAUUACUACACCUUUUACCCAUAGUUUGAUCUGCAUAAUUCAAUCUGUGUGCUCUUUUCAAUUUCGAUAACAAGCCCUCUCAGGUGGCCAUUACUGUUUUGUCAGACAUGCCAAUGUCAUACCAGGUAAGACGUCGCUUCUGUUUUUACUUUGUUCCACGGUACUAAUGGUAUUCUGUGUUGUGGAAGCAAAAAUUUGUUACUCGGGGAGUUAUUGUUUGUUCCUUCAAAAAUGGGCUCUUACGUGAACAUGGAUGCCGGUGUUUUCAUCAACACGCAUCUAGCAGAGAUGUUACCGUAAGCAGGCUCCACAUCACUAUGUAUUGCCCGAGGAUGCGGGUGGCAGCACUUGGGCGCCUAUGUCAACCUAGGCUCGUUCUAUCUCGUUGGGAUUCCAACAGCACUCUUCCUCGGCUUUGUUCUGAAGAUGGAAGCGAAAGGGCUUUGGAUGGGCAUUUCCUGCGGCUCCAUAGUGCAGUUCUUACUUCUUGCCAUCAUAACAUUCUUCAGCAACUGGCAGAAGAUGUCUGAGAAGGCAAGGGAGAGAGUUUUCAGCGAUGAGCCGUCAGAUAAGGAACCUUUGGAAUCGGAUGGAUCGAAUUUGUUCUGAUUUUAGCACGAGUCAUCUGAUCCCUUGUAGAGAAGCAGCGGACAAGAUCUUGUAGAGAAAGAAGCCCCUCUUGGAAUAGGUUUAUGAUGCCUUGCUUUCUGGUCUCUGAACUGAAUGUACAGGGAACUCGCUGAACUCUGACCAGUGUUCUGUGUCUGUGCUUGCUUGUUUGUUGAAGCAAUGGGACAAUUGUAUCAGAAACAUAAGACAUGACGAUAAUAUGAUAGAGAUAGUAACAACAGUUUGCAAUUUUGCA